UGGCAGCACUGGAAUAAUGCUGCAGAGAGGAACAGCGGCUACCAAAGUGAUAGUCAUCUCUCCUGGAUUCACAAAAACUAAGAUGUAAAAACACAAGCCUACCUCACAGGACAAUUUUAAGAGUGUGUUUAUGCUGCAGAAAACUGACGAGCAACACUACAGUCCUCCAACAAACAGAUGAGGAAGAGGAGGAUGAUGGCGGUCCAGUAUAUACAAAGAGAAAGUAACCAAGAGAAGUGUCAUCGCUGAAGGAAUGGCAGACGUUACUCAGACACCUGUGAACACAGCAGUGUUUGGAGUCCAAGACAGUGAAAUCAUCUUUAUUAUACUCCUGACUGGACUAGCAAGGAGCAUUAGAGCCAAUGAGAAAAAUUCAAAAGAAGAUACUUUGAAGAAUGCUGGUAAUCAAACCCAACAAGUUUGUCAGGUACAGAAAUGAAAGCUCCCAAACAAAGAUAUCACCAGAUUAAGAAUUGGAAAGACAUGUUACACCACCGCAACCAUAAAUCCUGAGCGAUUUGAAAAUGGGCAACAACCAAGGAAAAGUACUCAUUGAUUCACUUAGAAAUGAUUCAUGGUAAUAGUAAUAGUAAAUGAUUAGAUAAAUAAAGUACAAAAUGUGUUUAGUUUUAAAACUUUGCAAUUUACUAAUGUGUUGUUCAAAACAUUAAGUUUUGGUGUCUCUUUAUAAUAAGGUAUCUUUAGUUAAUGUGAGUAAACGUUGAAAUUAACAUUAAAUAACAAUGAGCAAUACAUUUGUUACAAUAUGCAUUCAUCUUUGAUACUGUUAAAAAACAACAACUGUUCUUUGUUAGUUCAUGUUAGCUCUGAUAAAUAAUGUCAACAGGCACAACUUUUGUUCUUUAUAAUGUAUUAGUAAAUGUUGAAAUUAACUAGGUUAAUAUAUUAACUACAGUUAACUAAAGUUAAUGUUAGGUAUUUGUAAUGUUAGUUCAUGUUGGGUAGGUAACGUUAACAAAUGAAAUCUUAUUGUAAAGUGUCACCUGAGUGUUUUUUGUUUAUACUUAAAAAUAAAUAGCUUCAAUGCAAGGGUAGUUUGGCUAAAUGUUAUGUUUUAUAUAUACUUUCUGUAUAACUUUUCUCUCUCUCUCUCUCUCUCUGUAAUUGCAUAGUUUUGUAAAAAACAAUUUUCUCAUGCCAACUUAGUGAGUUCUUAACUUGAAAACAUGCAUUCAUCAUAAGGAGAUGUUUAUAUAUUUAUAAUUAGAAUGAAAGUUAACAUUUUGGCUGCAUAUUAAUUUUAAAUGAAAGAUUAGUGAACAGUAAAGUAGAUAUUAAAAAUGAAGCCUGGCCACGUCCGGCGCGCUCUGCUCUUUGGUGUCGGGCCGAUACAGGUGUCCUGACAUUUUCUCCUACCCGUCAGAUUUUCCUACAUGUGUUUACUGCGCAUGCGCACAGGAAUAUUGCGUCCUUUUUCUCAUGCUAAACAACAAUAUUUUAUGUAUCUGCAUCACUGUAAGGGUAGGUUUAGGGUUGGGGUAGGUAUAGACUUUAAUAAAACACAAUCUAAUAGGUAGAAAAAAAUAUAUUUAUUGUUGGUUUUCUGUAAAUGUAUCCCUUCUAGCUUCAACCGCGAAUAUAACACAUAAUAACUGUAUUUGCAUUACUCUAAGGGUCGGUUUAGGGUUAUGAUAUGUGUAGAUGUUAAUAAACCAUAAUUUUAUCGACAGCAUUUUCGUUGUCGAAUUGUACUACCCACUGUUUUAAUGGGAGGUAGGAAAAUCUGACAGCGUAGGACAAAUCGACAGAACACCGGCUUGGAUGCGGCAGUGUCGGCUCGCUGACGGCCGCAGCAUCUGCCCUGACUGAAGCGGGCAGUGAGUCCACAGGCAUCCGGCCCGAGUGCGGCAGACGGAGUCGGGCCGAGUAAGUCGCCAGCAGGCGAGAAUCUAACCGGAACUUGCCCGAGUGUAUUUUGCUAUCUGCGGAAUGUUCACUGUUUAGUCUCAGAAGAACUGAUUGGUUUGUAACAGCCUUUAUUUGUUCAAAAAUGUAAAUAAUAUUAUAAAAAUGUUGAAUAGUAAGGUUGCAUUGUUUAGGUUCACAGCAGAGAACUAAUAAAAAGGUGGAGAUUUGCCAUCUUGCUGUUUCAAAGACCAGGUAUUUUUUUUGUUUGUUUUUUUUUUCUCUCAGAAGGUCAGACGGCAAAGGACGAGCAAACUACUUACAAACUGAGCUUUUAACUGAAGAACUGCAUGCAGCUGAUGUAAUUUGCCAUAUUGCAGAGGCUCUUGGAUUUGCGCGACACUGUAGUUUAGUGAAAGACGCGUCACACCUGCACAACGAACAGCCGGGAGAAAUCCGCGCUCGAGGAUUGAAGACGUCAAUGAUCUGACUUUCACAUUUGCCACAAGAGGGAGAGAGAAUGCUGAUGUGUGUGAAGGACUCGCGCGCUGCACACAUCUGCAUGUGAAUUACACAGAUAAGACUGAUGAAACAUCACACACCGGCGACAAUGACAAGCGUCUCUCAACUUCUGAAAGUCGGUAAGUUUAUUCACAAACUUCGUCGUUCGGCACAGGGUCAUAUAUUCAACAUCAUGUUGGAUAAAGUACUAAAUGUUUAGUUGUAACUGUUACAGCUCGAACUGUGUAAUAUUUAAUUACUGAUGUCAAUUUGUGCUAUUUUACUUCAUGAACAGCUUGCAGCAUAAACCGCUCUAAUCUAAUUAAGUGAAAGGGCAGCAGUCAGACUCAGAAUUAUUUAUUUUAAUUUCAAGAAAACUAAAAUUGAAAGAAC
rnacentral:lncRNA from 12 species